rnacentral:rRNA from 1 species
GCAAGUUCGAAGCGGCAGCGACCAACAUCUGAACCUUCCGGGGGAAUUUGUUGGGCGGUGAGCGGCGGACGGGUGAGUAACGGCUCGGGAACUCGCCCUGACGUGGGGGAUAACAGUUCGGAAACGACUCGCUAAUACCGCAUGAUGUCUACGGACCAAAGAGGAGGACCUUCGGGCUCUCUCGCGUCGGGAUGGGCCCAGUUGGGAUUAGCUAGUUGGUGAGGUAAUGGCUCACCAAGGCGACGAUCCCUAGCUGGUUUGAGAGGAUGAUCAGCCACACUGGAACUGAGACACGGUCCAGACUCCUACGAGAGGCAGCAGUGGGGAAUACUGCACAAUGGGCGCAAGCCUGAUGCAGCCACGCCGCGUGUGUGAAGAAGGCCUUCGGGUUGUAAAGCACUUUCAGCAGUGAGGAAGGUCACGUAGUUAAUACCUGCGUGAUUUUGACGUUAGCUGCAGAAGAAGCACCGGCUAACUCCGUGCCAGCAGCCGCGGUAAUACGGAGGGUGCGAGCGUUAAUCGGAAUUACUGGGCGUAAAGCGCAUGCAGGCGGUUUGUUAAGCAAGAUGUGAAAGCCCCGGGCUUAACCUGGGAACCGCAUUUUGAACUGGCAGGCUAGAGUCUUGUAGAGGGGGGUAGAAUUUCAGGUGUAGCGGUGAAAUGCGUAGAGAUCUGAAGGAAUACCGGUGGCGAAGGCGGCCCCCUGGACAAAGACUGACGC